GACGAACGCUGGCGGCGUGCUUAACACAUGCAAGUCGAACGGAAAGGCCCUGCUUUUGUGGGGUGCUCGAGUGGCGCACGGGUGAGUAACACGUGAGUAACCUGCCCUUGACUUUGGGAUAACUUCAGGAAACUGGGGCUAAUACCGGAUAGGAGCUCCUGCUGCAUGGUGGUGGUUGGAAAGUUUCGGCGGUUGGGGAUGGACUCGCGGCUUAUCAGCUUGUUGGUGGGGUAGUGGCUUACCAAGGCUUUGACGGGUAGCCGGCCUGAGAGGGUGACCGGCCACAUUGGGACUGAGAUACGGCCCAGACUCCUACGGGAGGCAGCAGUGGGGAAUAUUGCACAAUGGGCGGAAGCCUGAUGCAGCAACGCCGCGUGCGGGAUGACGGCCUUCGGGUUGUAAACCGCUUUCGCCUGUGACGAAGCGUGAGUGACGGUAAUGGGUAAAGAAGCACCGGCUAACUACGUG
rnacentral:rRNA from 1 species